UAAAAUGCCACGAUACAAAUUAAAAUGAGAGAAUUAGAUAUCUAUGUAGCUAUAGCUAGAGUUUUCAACUCAGAGUAGGAAAAAAGCACAAUAAAUAUGAAUGAUGGGAUGAUAUUUACAUAAAUAUUGUACAAGCCUGUAACAUUUGUUCUUUUUUUUCCCCAGACCUGAGGACCGAACCCAGGGCCUUGUGCUUGCCAGGGAUGGAGAAACCCUGAGAUGAGCCAUUCUCGUGGCUGGAUCUAACUCCCUGGAUGUGGUGAUGAGUCUCUGCGUUGCCUCGUCCAGACAAACGCCCAACUUCAAGGACUUGCCAUGGGAGAAUUCUAGAAUUCUGCUCUAUUUCUGGAUAGAGCAUGUUUCCAUCAGGAACAGAUGAACUGUUUCCACACUUAAACUGUUGGCUCUUUAAACACUUAUCAGGGAAAAUGGAUGAUGGACAAAAGAGGCCAUGGAAUAAAAAAGGAGCUGAGGAUGGAA